rnacentral:rRNA from 1 species
GAUGAACGCUGGCGGCGUGCCUAAUACAUGCAAGUCGAGCGAACGGACGAGAAGCUUGCUUCUCUGAUGUUAGCGGCGGACGGGUGAGUAACACGUGGAUAACCUACCUAUAAGACUGGGAUAACUUCGGGAAACCGGAGCUAACACCGGAUAAUAUUUUGAACCGCAUGGUUCAAAAGUGAAAGACGGUCUUGCUGUCACUGAUAGAUGGAUCCGCGCUGCAUUAGCUAGUUGGUAAGGUAACGGCUUACCAAGGCAACGAUGCAUAGCCGACCUGAGAGAGGGAUCGGCCACACUAGAAGUGGGACACGGUCAAGACUCCUGCGGGAGGCAGCAGUAGGGAAUCUUCCGCAGUGGGCGAAAACCUGGCGGAGCAGCGCCGCGUGAGUGAUGAAGGUGUUCGGAUCGUAAAACUCUGUUAUGAGGGAAGAACAUAUGUGUAAGUAACUGUGCACAUCUUGACGGUACCUGAUCAAAAAGCCACGGCUAACUACGUG